rnacentral:rRNA from 1 species
GACGAACCGUGCGAACGUUAUUCGGAAUCACUGGGCUUAAAGCGCGUGUAGGCGGGUCGCCCCGUCGGCUGCUGAAAUCCCCCGGCUCAACCGGGGAACGGGCACCGAUACGAGCGGCCUGGAGGGGGGUAGGGGGGCCUGGAACUUCCGGUGGAGCGGUGAAAUGCGUUGAGAUCGGAAGGAACGCCCGUGGCGAAGGCGAGUCCCUGGACAACACCUGACACUGAGGCACGAAAGCUAGGGGAGCAAACAGG